AGGGACAGUGUAUGGCAAUGCUUCUCAAGCUAUCAGAUGUGGGGGACUGGCAAUUUUUUUUCCAAUGUGCGCACAGCCUGGCAGCCGAUGGCUCGUGGACCGGCACUGGUCCGCGGACCACCACUUUGAGUAGCACUGAUCUAAAGAAC